GCUUGUCUCAAAGAUUAAGCCAUGCAUGUCUAAGUAUAACUCUUUUACUUUGAAAACUGCGAACGGCUCAUUAUAUCAGUUAUAGUUUAUUUGAUGGUUCUUGCUACUUGGAUAACCGUAGUAAUUCUAGAGCUAAUACAUGCAUCAAACCCCGACUCACGAAGGGGUGUAUUUAUUAGAUGGAAACCAAUGCGGGGCAACCCGGUAUAUGGUGAUUCAUAAUAACUUUCGGAUCGAUCUUCGGAUCGAUGCAUCAUUCAAGUUUCUGCCCUAUCAGCUUUGGAUGGUAGGGUAUUGGCCUACCAUGGCUUUAACGGGUAACGGAGAAUUAGGGUUCGAUUCCGGAGAGGGAGCCUGAGAAAUGGCUACCACAUCCAAGGAAGGCAGCAGG
rnacentral:rRNA from 1 species